rnacentral:rRNA from 1 species
AUUGAACGCUGGCGGAAUGCUUUACACAUGCAAGUCGAACGGCAGCACGGACUUCGGUCUGGUGGCGAGUGGCGAACGGGUGUGUAAUGUAUCGGAACGUGCCCAGUCGUGGGGGAUAACGUAGUGAAAAUUACGCUAAUACCGCAUACGAUCUAUGGAUGAAAGCGGGGGAUCGCGAGACCUCGCGUGAUUGGAGCGGCCGAUAUCAGAUUAGGUAGUUGGUGGGGUAAAGGCCCACCAAGCCAACGAUCUGUAGCUGGUCUGAGAGGACGACCAGCCACACUGGAACUGAGACACGGUCCAGACUCCUACGGGAGGCAGCAGUGGGGAAUUUUGGACAAUGGGCGAAAGCCUGAUCCAGCCAUUCCGCGUGCAGGAUGAAGGCCCUCGGGUUGUAAACUGCUUUUGUACAGAACGAAAAGGUUUCUACUAAUACUAGGAGCUCAUGACGGUACUGUAAGAAUAAGCACCGGCUAACUACGUGCCAGCCGCCGCGGUAA